CCCACACUUUAGUAUUCUCGCGGUGUCGUCCGGUGGUGGUGUUGUCCCGUGGUGUGCCGUACCGCGGUGUGUCGUACGAGGAGACUUCCUCAUUCCAGAAUCGAGCUAUUGUGAAGUCUCCUCCCACCCCAGCUCACCCCUACCUCAUCAUAUGCCCACCUUCCACUUCCUUACUCUCUUCUCUAACUUCGCGAGGCCCAACCGCAUUACUCGAACGAUGCUUAUUUACUUACUUGGUUCGUUCCUUUCGCGGAAAACCAUACUCCUUCCCAAAGCAAUUUUCUUUACUCCCAACGUGUAUUCUCUAUCCCUUGUGUAUCUUAUGGUUUAAAUCCGAGACCUCCAUUAUUCUUGGUGCGACUUCACGCAGCUUUUCGGAGAAACGAACGUUUGAGAUUACCACAAGAAAGUUUCUAACAUUUGCCAUAUCCUAUGAUUUUGCACGCUCUUAUAAAAUCGUAAAACCUUGCCUUGGACUAUCUCCAGCAAUAGCGAACAUUCCUAACGUUUGACGUUGCUUCUAAUAGUAAACACAAAACCUGGCAAAGUUUGAUAGAGAGAGACAGAGAGAGAGAGGGAGAGAGAGAGAGAGAGGGAGAGAGAGAGAGAAUCUACAGUAUAAUAACAAUAUAAUGCUUAUCUAGCACGCAAAAUGAGUGACAUCGAUGAGUACACAUUUCUCACUCCGCAACCUCUUCAUUUUCAUUUAAUCAGUAAUCACUAUUCAUACCAAACGUGAUCACAAUGGCGACAAUGGACACAGUACGUAAUAACAAGCUCGUUAAUUACUUUACUACUGAUGUAUAAAAAUUAAACUCAUGUGGGAAAAAAAAAAGAAAUAAAAAUAAAAAUUGAAAUUUGCGAAAAACAAAUUCGAAUGUCUAACGCAAAUGAAAUUUCGCAUGUGACAAAAGAUAAGGAAAAUUUUGUUAAUCAUUUUAACGAAAGAAAUUGAUCGAGAUACGAAUUAGUUCAUAUAAGAUAUAGCAAGCCCAUAUGUCGAUCUAUGUUAUUUGAAGAGCUUAUCACGAAUAAACACAUUGCGCGUUGUCGAGUUUGUUCUCUUGUAUUAUAGUAUAACAAAACGAGGAAUUCUCUAUAACGAUAUAUAUAUAAGUUGAAUGAGAAUGAUCAGCGAGAUCUCGUAGAAAUAACGUGAUCCAAAUGCAAUGAUUACAAAAUGUUUUUGCGGUAUUGGGCUAGAAACACGAGUAAAAUGAUAAAACCAUAAUGUCGCCAUAGAGUAUCGCAGUAUUGACAACGUAUACAAGUAAUAGUAAUAGUAGUAGUAAUAGUAGUAGUAGUAGUAGUAGUAGUAGUAGUAGUAGUAGUAGUAGUAGUAGUAGUAGUAGUAGUAAUAGUAGUAGUUAAGGCACAGGUAGUACGAGGAAAGCAAAGAGUUAAAUGUCAAAGCCUCCCCGCAGCAACAACAGCAAUAAUAGUAACAGUAACAGCAGCAAAGUAGCUGGGUAAGCAAUAGACAAGUAAAGCAGAAGUAAGGAAGGAAGGUAGGCAAGCAAGCAAGCAGGCAGGCAGGCAGGCAGGCAGGCAGGCAGGCAGGGAGGUAGACAAGCUAAGCAAGCAAGUAGCGAACGCAUAGAGAGUGCCAUGUUCGAUGAAUAUAAAAAAUUCGAGACCUUGUUCGACUGCAUCUGGGUCAUACAGCGCGUUCGUUCGUAGUCUAACGACGACGCAAGACGUUCUAAGUGGAAAAUGAGUGGCUGCUCACUUGUGCUCAUAAGGUUAAACGAGUGUGGUGCAAGCAGUUCUCGGUGUAACGAUGUUAACGAUGAUCGCAAAGGAGAAGGCAUCUCCAAGUGGAAAGACGUUUAUUGUUCGGUGACAUUGGCAAUGUAACGAACGGAGAUGCGUCGUAAAAUUUUUUGGGAAAAACAAAUUGAAAUUCGAUAAAAACGGCGAUUGAUUAAAAUGAAAAAAAUAACACGAGCAAAAUAAAAUAUCAUCGUAUUUCAAUACGAAGUGACAACGCGUUGUGAAAUCGCUUUUAUAUCCAUUUAAAUGUCCAAGUGAAAAUCCCGAUCGUAUCGAACAUAAAAAUCUAAAUAUCUAACAUUGUCCUUAGAAACGAACUAACAGGCUUGAGCUCGCUCAUCGUUCUACGUCGAUCGAAGAUAAUUUAAAUGAUCGUUACUUUACGAGGUAGAAAUAUCGUUGCUAGAAGGUGAAUCUAUUCGAUCGACUCUCCGUAUAGUCUAUCGCUCCUUCCACUGGUUGGAUUUCUUACUUAUUAUUCGUCAGAUUGUGUAACGUUCUCUACAAUAGUGCCAACAUAAGGACCAAUCCGUCUCUGGCUUGCGAAGAUCGAACGUAAAUCGAGAAACGGAGAAGAAGAAGAAGAAGAAGAAGAAGAAGAAAAAGGAAAAGGAGAAGGAGAAGAAGUGACAGAGAAGGAGGAGGAGGAAGAGGAGGACGACGACGAAGAAAAGGAGGGGACUGUAUCGUCGCCAAAGAGGAUGGAGUGGCGCCAAACGGCGUGGAUGCGAUUCGAGUUCUCGGCCGAAUAACAAGUAAAUCAAGCGUGUAAUUGGAAUUCAAUUCGCACAGUGGCACAGAUACAAGGCAUUACGAUUCCAUCGGCAGCAGGCUCGUGCAAGCAAGCAAGCAAGCAAGCAAGCAAUUUUCGAAUCAUAUCUUUUUGGAUUAUUAUGAUUGCUCAACUAAUACUUGGUUGAGAUCUUAAUUCUCAAAGGAAACAAAAUCUAUGGAUGAGUAAAUAUCAAGCAACACAGUAUUACACAUGGUGAAAUAAAACGAAUUCCUUUUUCGAAGCGGAAAGUGUAGGUAUGCGCUAAUGAACGCUCUCCGAACGAAUCGUUAGGUGGGCGUAAGAAUGCUAGUGCGGAUCGUAAAUUAUAAUAAGAAAAUAGAUAGUACAGGGAUUGCUUCUGCAUCGCCAUUGUAGUUCGCGCCGAGUGAAAAGCCACGAGCGUCGUAAUCGACUCGAGACGGAAUUCAAUGUUUCUACCCACGGAAGUGAAGAGAAAAGAAGAAGUUUUGCUCUUCGUUCUGUACAUGAAAACGAUAAGAUCAGACUAACAGAGAAAGAGAGAUUUCAAAAAAGAGAAAAAAGAAAUCAAGGAAACAAAAGAAAAAAAAGAAGAAGAAGAAGAAGAAGAAAGAGGAAAAUAAAAAACUAAAUGACCGACCUUUUUGUUCGAACGAAAAAAUCACAUAUUAGAUGUUCAAUCUCUAUCAUCAUUAUUUAACAAUUAUAUCUCCAAUUAUGUGAGAAAAUAUUAGAAUAGACACUGCAAUGCUUUUAAAAUAUUACAUCUUACGAGUUUUCAGGGCCAACGAAUCGUAUUUGAGUCACACGUUUUCACAGUGUGAGCUCAAAAACUCCUUGAUAAUUAAAAAAAUUAAUUUCUCCUUUUCGAGAUUCUUUUAUCCUAAUUUGUUUGUUUUUCUUUCUUUCUUUUUCCCCGUCCUCCACCCUCCAGAUAAUAAAACUAAAAACCUAACUUGUGAAACUACAAGCUUAAUUACAAUAAUUUAAAAAUCACGAAUAAUAGUAAUUGAUUUUUUUAAAUUACAUAAAAACUUUGGCCCACCCUUUGCCUCACCCUUAUAGAAAACGUAUCUACAUUUGAUUUGCUAAUCAUAGCAAUCUGACGUUUCUAAUAACACGAUUUUUUUCGAGAUAAAGAGAAAGAGAAAGAGAAUGAAAUAGAAAGGGGGAGAAACAGAGAAGGGGAGGGAAGAGAGAGAGAGAGAUAGAGGGGAAGGAAGGGCGCAUGAAGAAAAAAGGGGAUGAUAGAGAAGGGUUCGAGGAAAGGAGAAAUGGUAUCAUUGAAAAUAGCGGGCAAUCCGUUAUCAUAUAGUGGGGGAGGAAUAAAAGUGUGAGGGAGAAAAAGAGAGAGAAAAAAGGGGGGAGGAAGAGUGGUAUAGCAUAGAAGGUUAACAAAAUCAAUAACAGUGGGUGGUUGAAACAGGGCUGGCCACCCCGGCCAGCCGUCCCGGACUUGCUGGGGGGCUAGGUCGGCCACCGACCUUUAUCCAGGCCAACUGCAUCAUCCCCAUUUCCACGCGUGCAUGCGCGCGCUCCAACUCUACUAUUCUCAUGGCCAGCCCUUUUUCCACGAGCUAAAGUAGUAACUCAGGUAAUAAACAACUUAACGAAGCACACAAGAUAAAAGUUAAUAUCAACGAACGGGGCUAAGUUGAGAAAGAAAGCAAAAAUAGAAAAAAAUGAACAAAGAAAUGAGAGAGAGAAAGAGAAAGAGAGAAGAAAAAAAAAGAUAAAACUGAUACGAAUCGAAAUGUAACUUUUCUAAUAUAUGAAAUAUUCUUUCGACAUUAUGUGAAGUGAAACGUUAGAGAUUCAAACAAGGAAAUGCAUGAAGAAUCCAAUUUCUUUUUAAGCCCCCCUGCCUCUCUCUCUCUCUCUCUCUCUCUCUCUCUCUCUCAUUUGUUACUUAUAGAAACGUUAAAGAAAAUUCGCCUUCCGGGAAGAAAAUUGGAGCGAGCUAAGCGAGAGACCAAAGUCCCUCUAGUCUUUAUAUAUAGAUUCGCGAGAGCUACUUGUAGACGAGCGAGCUCAAAAGCGAACGGUUGUUUUUAACUUCGCUAUAUGAGGAAUAUAUGAUAACGAUCGAACAAA